CAACCGUCAAAGUAAACUGUAGGAAAUCUCAUCCGACAGUCCAGUUGUUUUUUUCCUUGACCGAGUUUGUUUUUAAUUGAAAACGUUGAUAUUGAAAACAGAUGACUUGGAUCAAAAACAACAAGUCAGGAAUAUAACAUUUGUUAUCUAUUCGUUUGGUGUGGUUUGACCCCUGAUUUUUCCAUUUUCCCAUUUUUCUUGGAGUUAAGUAUUCCCUUUAGAUUUUUUUGUCUUAGUUUACUUUGUGCUUUGUUUUCAGUUAAAAUAAAAAUUACAAAAUAAGUUAACUGUGUGCCAC
rnacentral:lncRNA from 1 species